CCUGGUUCAGAGAGAGCAAGCCUCUUUCCCUCCUGUGUUUCAGUUUUCUCAGUGAUUUUGUAGCUGAGCAUCCUUGGGUGAGACCAGGAUGAAGUGUGGACCAGACACCAGGUUGGAAUAGUCUUGGUCCUGGACCUUGGCUGGCAGACCUUAUCCUUGUCCUGUCUACAUCUUCCUCAUUCUCUCAUUCUUGAGAUCGGGCUGAUAUUCUUAGAGGAUAUUGGGCUUGACUCCUGCUCCCUGGGUUUGAAACCGUCGGAAUACCAGAGCAAACGGCAUCAGGAAAGCUCUAAGUGGUGGGAGCAGAAACCAGCAGUCUCCUAAUGAGGCACAGACGAUGACCAGUAGAAGAAGUUCUAGUCUGCUGUGAUUGAUGCUUCACAGUGUCUCAAACUCCUCCUGGGCAGAGUUGCCCUGGGGGUCUUACACGCAAGAGCCAAGAAGGAGAAAGCUGGGCUGUGUGUGUAUCUCCCUAGGGGUUUGCGGCUGAAAAGAAAAGAUGAGAGACUGCUUGGGGGACACUGGGUAUGAGAGUCUAGAUUCUCUGUUCUUAGGUCUCUCCUCUGUCUCCCCUAUCUCUGUGUGUGUAUGUACAAGUUCAUACAUGUGUGUGCGCAUGCACACGGAAGACAGAGUUUGCCAUUGGGUCCUCCUUCCUCCAUCAUUCUCCCUCUCAGUUUUUUGAAACAGGGUCUCCUAUUGGAUCUGAAGCUUAGCAAUUCAGCUAGAUUGUCCAUCCAGUGAGCCCAGGGAUCCUCCUGUCUUUACCUUCCAGUACUAGGAUUUUAGGUGUGUGUUGCCAUGGGUACUGGGGAUGGGAGUCAGGUCCUUUCACUUGCAUAGCAAACUCUAUGGACUGGACCAUCCUCUCAGCACUGACAGUUCUUGAAUUUUAAACCUAGUGCCCAAACUGGACAACAGACAGUUUCUUAGAGUAUAAGGGGAAUAUUGUCUCAGACACUUCUAGGGUGUGACCUUGGGCUGUCAUUUAAAUCCUCUGUGCUUGCCUUCUCCAUUUCUUCAAUUGUAGAAUGGAGACAUUCCUCAUAGAGUGGAAAGGUGUUACUCCUACAUCCUGGGUGCUGUGAGCACUGAGUGUGUUCAUAGGAAACUCGGAGCAUGGUCCAGCUCUGAGAUGCAGAGACAAGAGGAAGGAGAAGGAUCCAGAGAGUCAAAUCACUGUCCACCCAGGUGGGAGGGGAGUCGGUUCAGAGGGGAGCAGCCAUGCCAGCUGGCUUGCUGAUGGGAGUUUAGUCAAGACUCUCCUUCUUUGUGACAUUGAAAGUUAUUGUGAGUGUGUGUUUUUAAAUGCAUAAGGGAAAAAGUGUCGGGGUGGGGGGAUGAGGAGGGAAGACAUACAUCCCAGCCUGUUUCCCAAUCUGGGUAGAUUUCUCAUUAGGAUAGCAUUCAGCUAUUCUCCGAGCAGGUCUAAGAAAAGAAGGCUUCAUCUCUGGGUCUGUUUAGAAGUGCAUGGUAGUAGAUGAGCUCCCUUGAAUCCCGCGACUGCUUCUCUCCCCGUCCAGCACAAGCUAUCUUUGUUACCCUAUCUUUCCCCGAAGCCUUUAGCAAUCGCUAACAAUCCUAUUUACUCUGUGUACCAGACAAACACAGUUACCGUUCCCAUCUCACUAUUUUUAUCUAAUAUUGAAAUUUCUCUCCCUAAGAGCAGCCCAGAAUACAUUAUGGUAUCUGCUGAAUAAAUGAUGUGCGUAAUA